GUUGGUGAUUCGACGCGGUGGGUACACCUGUUCUCAUUCCGAACACAGAAGUUAAGCAUCGUAGUACCAAUGAUACUCCUUGUGGGGAAAGUAGGUAAUCGCCAACA
rnacentral:rRNA from 2 species